GGACAAUGAAUGGGCCACUUCGGAGUUAUGAUUCCAAAUGUACUGGCAAAGCUAUCAACUUGUGGCUAAAUGGUACCAAGCUAGAAAUGAGUAAUAUUGGUUCGCCUUACGAUCUUUAUAUUGGAUGGCUGUAUUCUGGUGAUAUCCGGACGCCAUAGAGGAGGAUGAAAAUGUUCCGGGCGACUUUGAUUCCGAUGGACUUCCAGAUCAUGAAAUGUCUCGCGACUCACGAAAUUUUGCUGGUUUACGCUUUCUGGUUGUCAAUGUAUGUGGACAUCAAUAGGGCAUAUUAGGCGUAUUGGGGCAUCAAUUAUCACCAGCUUAUCAUCGAAGGCUUGCGAUACAUUAAAAUAGAUGAGGGAAUGGUUUUUUGAGCGAGGUCUAACGAGACUGACCCUUACAAAACAGAGAAACAG
rnacentral:sRNA from 1 species